AAGAUGUUUAGCAGUGAAACAGAAGGAGUGAACCAAAUGCACCUGUGGCUUCUGGCAGGUAUAAUGAAAACCUGUAGCAGUAAACUUUCAAAACUGUUUGGAAACCAGAACUUUGCCACCUUACAGGUUUGAAGUCAACACAGUCAGAGCCCUUCCCACAGGAUUUCUGCCUCACCUGGAGAGCAGCCACUGCAACACAGGCUGGAGCUGGUUUUUCUCAUUGAUGCAGCCAAAAGGAGGAGAAGGACUCUGGUCUACAUAAGUAUGGUGGGAUGGAUCUGCCUGGGUUAAGUGACAGCAUAAAAGCAUUCCAACUGAGCAGCGGAAAUCCUAAUUCUUCCUAUGAACUGGAGUAACAAGGUGACAGGAGAUCAUCCACCACUACUGGAAACUGGGAAAAAACAGGUGAUUCUGGGAAUCACAGGUUGUCAUUGUCCCUGGCACUAAGAGCAGAAAGGCAAAUAUGGUGCCAGUGACUCAGACCUGCAUUGCUGGUACCUCACUGGGGAGAUGCAGUGCAGGAAGGGACCUGCCAUCCUCAGCCCCUGCUUGGUACCUGUAAGCACUGAGUUUUCUGUCACCCUGCCCUUUUCCCUGUGGGUUGCCUGGUCCUUCUCUCCUAGCAAACACAGAGAAUCAACAUCGUUGAUUCAGCUGGACUUUGAAUUCUGGGUUACAGGGCCAUAUUCUUGUCUUUUGUGUUACAAUGUUGUCCCUGAAGAAAUUCGAUUGCAUUUUACUUUGGACUCUGUGAAACUGACAACUGCUGAUGCUCCAGCAUGAAGAUCAAGGUACCAACGAUCCUCAGAAGAAGACACAUUUCCCAGGGCACUGGAGAUUACACAUCUAGCAGAACUGAAAUCAAAGGCAUGGUAAAUGAUAAUAUCUAGAAUCUUUCUCAGAUCCUGCAAAACACAAUGGAACCAAUCAACAAAGGGAGACUGGAUUUUUUCUUUUCCUUUUGCUUCAUUUCAGUGCAUAAAUGGAAUUCUAGUUCUGUGUUUUUGCUCAAAAUAUGGAAAAGCCAAUAAAAUCUUCUAGAAAUAUUAUUUUUUCA
rnacentral:lncRNA from 1 species